ACGACGUCAAGUCAUCAUGGCCCUUACGACCUGGGCUACACACGUGCUACAAUGGCCGGUACAGAGGGUUGCAAAGCCGCGAGGUGGAGCCAAUCCCAGAAAGCCGGUCGUAGUUCGGAUUGGAGUCUGCAACUCGACUCCAUGAAGCCGGAAUCGCUAGUAAUCGCGAAUCAGAAUGUCGCGGUGAAUACGUUCCCGGGCCUUGUACACACCGCCCGUCACACCAUGGGAGUGGGUUGCAAAAGAAGUGGGUAGACUAACCUUCGGGAGGUCGCUCACCACUUUGUGAUUUAUGACUGGGGUGAAGUCGUAACAAGGUA
rnacentral:rRNA from 1 species